rnacentral:rRNA from 1 species
CAGCUGAUCAGCCAUGCCGCGUGUGUGAAGAAGGCCUUCGGGUUGUAAAGCACUUUCAGUGGGGAAGAAAGCCUUGGGCCCAAUACGUCCGAGGAAGGACAUCACCCACAGAAGAAGCACCGGCUAACUCCGUGCCAGCAGCCGCGGUAAUACGGAGGGUGCGAGCGUUAAUCGGAAUUACUGGGCGUAAAGCGCGCGUAGGCGGUCUGAUAAGCCGGUUGUGAAAGCCCCGGGCUCAACCUGGGAACGGCAUCCGGAACUGUCAGGCUAGAGUGCAGGAGAGGAAGGUAGAAUUCCCGGUGUAGCGGUGAAAUGCGUAGAGAUCGGGAGGAAUACCAGUGGCGAAGGCGGCCUUCUGGACUGACACUGACGCUGAGGUGCGAAAGCGUGGGUAGCAAACAGAGAUUAGAUACCCUGGUAGUCCACGCCGUAAACUAUGUCAACUACCCGUUGGGCACCUUGUGACCUUUGUGGCGCAGUUAACGCGAUAAGUCGACCGCCUGGGGAGUACGGCCGCAA